rnacentral:rRNA from 1 species
UGAGGAAUAUUGGUCAAUGGGCGCAGGCCUGAACCAGCCAAGUCGCGUGAGGGAGGACGGUCCUACGGAUUGUAAACCUCUUUUGUCGGGGAGUAACGUGCGGGACGGGUCCCGUAUUGAGAGUACCCGAAGAAAAAGCAUCGGCUAACUCCGUGCCAGCAGCCGCGGUAAUACGGAGGAUGCGAGCGUUAUCCGGAUUUAUUGGGUUUAAAGGGUGCGCAGGCGGACUCGUCAAGUCAGCGGUAAAAAUUCGGGGCUCAACCCCGUCCGGCCGUUGAAACUGAGAGACUGGAGUGCGACAGAGGGAAGCGGAAUGCGAGGUGUAGCGGUGAAAUGCAUAGAUAUCGCGCAGAACUCCGAUUGCGAAGGCAGCUUUCCAUGUCGUAACUGACGCUGAGG